AAACUGAAGUUACAGUGUAACUUUUUUGUAAUUGUAGUGUACCUAUCCAGUACCUCUGUGUAGGUAUAAGGGUAUAAUAUGCUAAGUU